rnacentral:lncRNA from 1 species
GCCUUGCAGAGAUGGGUAUGGGGUGGCAUUCAGACCUUUGUGACAAUUUGGUUGCAGCUCCUGAGAGGAAGGAUCCCAGAGCUAAGCUCCUGGCAGACAUGGGCCAAAGCAAGAAAAGAGGCAGUCACUUUUAUAUUGCCCACGCAAGAGUUGUAUCAGCAGAGAAAGGAGAGUACAGUGGGAGGUCUGGGUCAGUGGUGAAUAUCAGCAGAACGGAACAACCAACAACCCAUGGAAGAGUGGGAAGGAGUUGAGAUACAAGACUGUGGAGGGGUUCCAUCUGCUGUAUAGAGUCAGCCUCAAGGAGAUGAUGGGCUACAUCAGGAGGCCUGUGAGAUGAACUUGGUCUGUCUGGAAGCUUAUAGGACCACAUCAGCUAAAUCAGCAGAGAGGAGGUGUCCAGAGGAGCCAGAGCUCUGCAGCAGAAAUCUUUAGGGCUGACAAAG